UUGCUUCAGCAGCAUAUACGUUAAAAUUGGAAACUUAAGCAGAGAAUUAGCAUGGACUCUGAGCAAGAUUGGCAAACCAAUUUGUGGAGUAUUAUAUAGUGUC
rnacentral:snRNA from 1 species